CAAAGAACUUUGAAGAGAGAGUUCAAGAGGGCGUGAAACCGUUUGGAAGGAAACGGACAGAGCCAACAAUAGUUGAUGGAAUUCAGUUUGCCAGCCAGAACUUAGAUGCACAAGUGGACCGAUCGCCAUGGUGUGUUUGAGCUUCAAGCUGAUGAAUGCAUUUUCCAUCGAUGUGCAUUGAGGGUGGUGAGUACACGGAACAAAACCUGGAUUGCCGACCCUAUUAUUGGGGUGCCCCUUCCAGGCAAAGGGCUGUUGUAUCCACUAGCAAAACAGUGUCCGCAUAGCUCGGUAGUCAGGUUACUCAGUUGAACGAACCUGGGCAUUGAGCUUGCUCGAUGUCCUAACACUCAAUUGGGUUUGCAUGGUGAUCCGAGUGACACUGACCUCGGUGUAAAAGUUGGCCACCUGUCCGACCCGUCUUGAAACACGGACCAAGGAGUCUAACGUGCACGCAAGUCACUAGGUAGUAAACCUAGAGGCGCAAUGAGAGUGAAAGCUGGCUUGAUCAGCCUAUACGGGAUCCUCUCCAGGGAGGUGCACCGUAGCCCCGUCUCGUUCGCUUGUCGAAGGGGCGGAGGAAGAGCGUGCACGCUGGGACCCGAAAGAUGGUGAACUAUGCCUGAGCAGGGCGAAGCCAGAGGAAACUCUGGUGGAGGUCCGAAGCGGUUCUGACGUGCAAAUCGAUCGUCAGACUUGGGUAUAGGGGCGAAAGACUAAUCGAACCAUC
rnacentral:rRNA from 1 species